rnacentral:rRNA from 1 species
AGGGGGAACCACCCUCCUGGCAAAUACAUCUGUGUGACCGAUAGUGAACUAGUACCGUGAGGGAAAGGCGAAAAGAACCCCGGAGAGGGGAGUGAAAUAGAUCCUGAAACCGUAUGCGUACAAGCAGUGGGAGCC